rnacentral:rRNA from 1 species
GACGAACGCUGGCGGCGUGCCUAAUACAUGCAAGUCGAACGCAGUGGGGCCGGGUGAGUAACACGUGGGUAACCUGCCAUCAGAGGGGAUAACACUUGGAAACAGGUGCUAAACCGAUACUGAUGGAUGGACCCGCGGUGCAUUAGCGAAUUGGUGAGGGAACGGCUCACCAAGGCCACGAUGCAUAGACGACCUGAGAGGGUGAGCGGCAACACUGGGACUGAGACACGGCCCAGACGCCUACGGUAGGCAGCAGUAGGGAAUAUUGUGCAAUGGACGAAAGUCUGACCGAGCAACGCCGCGUGAGUGAAGAAGGGUUUCGGAUCGUAAAACUCUGUUGUUAGAGAAGCGGUAUCUAACCAGAAAGCCACGGCUAACUACGUGCCAGCCGCCGCGGUAAUUC